ACGAGGUCUCUCUGUUGACCAGACUGGUCUCAAACUCCCAGCCUCAAGCAGUCCUUCCAUUUUGGUCUCCCAAAGUGCUGGAAUUACAGGAGUCUCUGAGAACAAGCCAGCCAGAGGAGAAGAAGGAUGUUUCUCUGGAUUCAGAUGCUGCCGGUCCCCCUACUCCCUGCAAGCCCUCCAGCCCAGGUGCAGACAGCAGUCUGAGCAGUGCUGAUGGCAAAGGGCGACAGGGAAGUGGGGCAAGACCUGGGCUUCCAGAAAAAGAGGAAAAUGAGAAGAGUGAACCUAAGAUUUUCGGGAAUCUGGUGACCCCCAAGGCAGACCCUAGGGGCAGUGAGCCUGCCAAAGCCUCUGAAAAGGAAGCACCAGAGGACACAGUAGAUGCAGGAGAGGAGGGUUCCAGGAGGGAAGAGGCAGCCAAGGAGCCAAAGAAGAAGACUUCUGCUCUGGAAGAGGGCAGUUCAGACGCCAGCCAAGAACUGGAAAUUAGUGAACACAUGAAGGAACCACAGCUCUCAGACUCCAUAGCUUCUGACCCCAAGUCCUUCCAUGGCCUGGACUUCGGUUUUCGCAGCCGGAUCUCGGAGCACCUGCUGGAUGUUGAUGUGCUUUCCCCAGUCCUGGAUGGAGCUUGUCAGCAGGCCCAGCAACCACUGGGAAUAGAAGACAAGGAUGACAGCCAGUCCAGCCAAGAUGAGCUGCAGAGCAAGCAGUCCAAAGGCCUGGAGAGGUUAUCUCCUCUACUUCCAUACGAGGAGCGGGCCCAGAGUCCCCCUCGCAGCCUGGUCACCGAAGAAGAGCCCCCCCAGGGCCCCGAGGGGCAGCCCGAGUGGAAGGAGGCAGAGGAGCUUGGGGAGGACUCUGCAGCCAGCCUCAGCCUGCAGCUGUCCCUCCAGAGGGAGCAGGACCCAAGCCCACCUGCUGCCCAUGAGAAGGGCAAGGAGCAGCAUUCCCAGGCUGAGGAGCUGGGCCCUGGGCAGGAAGAGGCGGAGGAGCCUGAGGAGAAGGUGGCGGUCAGCCCCACCCUGCCAGUCUCUCCAGAGGUGCAAUCCACAGAGCCUGUGGCUCCCCCAAAGCAGCUCUCAGAAGCUGCACUAAAGGCCAUGGAAGAGGCAGUGGCCCAAGUACUCGAGCAAGACCAGAGGCACCUGCUGGAAUCGAAGCAAGAGAAGAUGCAGCAACUGCGGGAGAAGCUGUACCAAGAGGAGGAAGAGGAGAUCCUCCAGCUUCACCAGCAGAAAGAGCAAUCGCUCAGUUCCUUGAGGGAGCGGCUGCAGAAAGCCAUUGAGGAGGAGGAGGCCCAGAUGAGAGAGGAGGAAAGCCAGAGGCUGUCCUGGCUCCGAGCUCAGGUCCAGUCCAGCACACAAGCAGAUGAGGACCAAAUCAGGGCUGAGCAAGAGGCUUCCCUGCAGAAACUGAGAGAAAAGUUGGAGUCUCAACAGAAGGCUGAGAGGGCCAGCUUGGAACAGAAACAUAGGCAAAUGCUGGAGCAGCUCAAGGAAGAGAUAGAGGCUUCGGAGAAGAGCGAGCAGGCUGCCCUGAAUGCUGCAAAGGAGAAGGCUCUGCAGCAGCUGAGGGAGCAGCUGGAAGGGGAGAGGAAAGAAGCUGUGGCAGCGCUGGAGAAGGAGCACAGUGCUGAGCUGGAGCGGCUCUGCUCCUUGUUGGAGGCCAAGCACCGGGAGGUGGUCUCCAGCCUCCAGAAGAAGAUAGAGGAAGCUCAACAGAAAGAGGAGGCCCAGCUGCAGAAGUGCCUUGGGCAAGUGGAGCACAGAGUUCACCAAAAGGCUUAUCACGUGGCUGAGUAUGAGCACGAGCUCAGCAGUCUCCUGCGAGAGAAGCGCCAGGAAGUGGAAGGGGAGCACGAGAGGAGGUUGGACAAGAUGAAGGAGGAGCACCAGCAAGUGAUGGCUAAGGCCAGAGAGCAGUAUGAAGCUGAGGAGAGGAAGCAGCGGGCUGAGCUUCUGGGGCACCUGACUGGAGAGCUGGAGCGCCUGCAGAGGGCCCAUGAACGAGAACUGGAGACUGUGAGGCAGGAGCAACAUAAGCGUCUUGAGGACUUGCGGCGCCGGCACAGGGAGCAGGAAAGGAAGCUCCAGGAUCUAGAGUUGGACCUUGAAACCAGAGCUAAAGAUGUCAAGGCCAGAUUGGCUCUGCUGGAGGUCCAGGAGGAGACCGCCCGGAGGGAGAAGCAGCAGCUGCUUGAUGUGCAGAGGCAGGUUGCUCUGAAGAGUGAGGAAGCCACAGCCACCCAUCAGCAGCUGGAGGAGGCACAGAAGGAGCACACCCACCUGUUGCAGUCAAACCAGCAGCUCCGAGAAAUUCUUGAUGAGCUGCAGGCCCGCAAGCUGAAGCUGGAGUCCCAAGUGGAUCUGCUGCAGGCUCAGAGCCAGCAACUGCAGAAACACAUCAGCAGCCUGGAGGCUGAAGCUCAAAAGAAGCAGCACCUGUUGAGAGAAGUGACAGUUGAGGAAAAUAAUGCUUCCCCACAUUUUGAGCCAGAUCUCCACAUUGAGGACCUGAGGAAAUCCCUUGGGACAAACCAGACCAAAGAGGUGUCUUCUUCUCUCUCCCAGAGCAAGGAGGACUUAUACUUGGACAGCCUGUCCUCCCACAAUGUCUGGCACCUCCUCUCUGCUGAGGGGGUAGCCCUCCGUAGUGCCAAGGAGUUCCUUGUGCGGCAGACACGCUCCAUGCGGAGGCGGCAGACAGCUCUGAAAGCUGCCCAGCAGCAUUGGCGCCAUGAGCUGGCCAGUGCGCAGGAGGUGGCCAAAGACCCACCAGGCAUUAAGGCCCUGGAAGAUAUGCGCAAGAACCUGGAGAAGGAGACCAGGCACCUGGAUGAGAUGAAGUCAGCCAUGCGGAAAGGCCACAACCUGCUGAAGAAGAAAGAGGAGAAGCUGAAUCAGCUGGAGUCCUCUCUUCGGGAAGAGGCAUUUGGGACAUAUGCUGAGCCUUGCCUCCCUCCCAUCCUGCUGUGAGGCAGCUGUGUGAUUUGCUUCACCCAGGGUACCUGGUGGAACUCUGGGCCCCAGAGGAGUCUACUCACCAAGUCCUCAGUUCCCACACAUCACAAGGGCGACAGGCUACAUACCACCUUGAAUUUGUAGCAUCAAAAUUGCUAGGAGAACAAAUGGAGAUGCCCAUAGUUCAUGGAUUUGCGCCUCAGAUGAGGGCACUCUGGGAGGAUCCCCCACCAAGAAGGCGGUAACCUUCGACCUCAGUGACAUGGACAGCCUGAGCAGUGAAAGUUCUGAAUCUUUUUCCCUGCCUCACCGUGAGUGGUGGCGGCAGCAGAGGAUCGACUCAACCCCGAGUCUCACCUCCUGCAAGAUCCAUGGGCUUAGCCACUCCCUCCGGCAGAUCAGCAGCCAGCUGAGCAGUGUCCUCAGCAUCCUGGACAGCCUCAACCCUCAGUCGCCGCCGCCGCUUCUCGCCUCCACGCCAGCCCAGCUCCCUCCCCGGGACCCUAAGAGCACCCCCACCCCCACCUACUAUGGCUCCCUGGCCAGGUUCUCAGCCUUAUCAUCUGCUACACCCACGUCCACCCAAUGGGCCUGGGAUUCAGGGCAGGGGCCCAGGCUCCCCUCCUCUGUGGCUCAAACAGUGGACGACUUCCUGUUGGAGAAGUGGCGCAAGUAUUUUCCAUCUGGCAUCCCGCUGCUCAGCAACAGCCCUGCCCCACUGGAGAGCAGGCUGGGUUACAUGUCUGCCAGUGAGCAGCUCCGGCUCCUACAGCACUCCCAUUCCCAAGUCCCUGAGGCUGGCAGCACCACCUUUCAGGGCAUAAUUGAGGCCAACCGGAGGUGGCUGGAACGUGUCAAGAAUGACCCCAGGUUACCUCUCUUCUCUUCAGCACCCAAGCCAAAAGCUACUUUGAGCCUUCUGCAGCUGGGCCUUGAUGAGCACAACAGAGUGAAGGUGUAUCGCUUCUGAGGCCCUGAGCAGGGGCUUGGGGCAGCCCAGCCUCUCCUCCACCCAGACCAGGUGCCUGAGGAGCUGCCUGCCUUCUUCCAUCUGAGAAAGCACCCUCCUUCCCCCUUUGACUUGCAGGAGCCACCAGGGAGCAGGGGGUUGAGUGGAACAGUAAAGCCGCACAUUCUGUGACUACAUAACCUAUCUCGGGCUAAAAUGUGUGGACUUGUACGAGCUCUUGUCAUUGACAUGGCAAGCUGAUGGUGUGCGGUGGCUGUGGGGUAUCAGGGCCGGGAAGCCCGUUGGGAGGAAGGGAGGUGUUAGAGGAGCUGCCUUCAGAGGCCCAGGGAGUCCCUUUGGAGCUGGUUGUUUCCUUGUCCCUGCAGCGCACUGCUCGGGGCUCCCAAGGAGGUUGUGCGUAUGGUUCUUAGUUCAUCAGGACAAAGACCCCCAGCGUGUGUGUACCCUGGGACCCAGUUUCUCUGGGCCCACAUCUAUCUCCAAUACCUCAGCCUUAGAUCAGACCCUUUCUUUUUUGUCUUUCUUUUCUUAAGCGUUCCGUCUCUCUUUUUGACUCUCUCAGGAUUGGGCUUAGCUGUCCAGAGCCCUGCCGGAGGGUGCUGGGGGCUGUCCCUCUGCAGGCACUGUGUUUUCCUCGGGGGCUGUCCUCAGGAGCACCCCUCCUGCUCCCUGGGGCUCCUCAGGGAGCCAUUUCAGCUGGAGUCUCAGGUCUCAAACACAGCUUCUCCGGGAGGCCAAAAAAAAGACUGGGAUGGCUGCUGGUCCUCAUGGCGGCUUUUAUCCUCCUGGGACACGUUGGGUAUAUUCAUGGGCAUUGUUUCCAUCUGUCUUUUCUACCUGUGCCACCCCUGCCCUGAUUCCACGGCUGCCUCAGGCAGGCAGGCGAGGGGCUAGGCCGGUGCCUGGCCCUGGCAGCAAGGGGUCUUUGUGCAGUUGGAGAUGCUGCCGUUGUGGCAGAGCGUCCUGCAGCCCCGCUUCCAUCAGUGGGCUCUGGGGUGGGUGCUUUGCAGGGGAUACUCUCUGAUGUUUGUUCCGUUGUUUAAAUAAAAUGCACUUAUUUUUAUUUUUUUGCAA
rnacentral:sRNA from 1 species